UCCGAGGGGCCGCUCCCGGACACUCCGGGCCGCGUUUUGGCGGCAGCCGCCGUGCAUGGCCCUUCGGUAAUAGAAUAGCCGAUGUAAUCUGACACUCCAACUUGCUGUGCUCUCUGCUAGUUGAUUCAGUUACUCACCCACUGACGUUGAGUCCAUUCUCGGUGUUUGUUACGAGAAGGGGGGGAAAAAGAAGAUAUUUAAAAAAACAAGAUCCGAAAACACACGGGAUUUUCCCCCUUUUGCUCUCCGCUCGGAUAGGAUACGUAAUUCCAACAGACGUAGUCCGUGGUGGGGGCCCGCAGAGGGACGUUCCCCACGUGAUGUGAAGGGAGGGGGGGACUGGAGGUGUACAAAGCUUGGCAUUCACACAGGUUAAAUCGGUGAUCGAUGAGGGUGUAGAAGAGACAUUACUGGUCACCUGUAAAGUAAAUCCAGACCAUUCCAUCAUCCACCGGACAUGUAGGCAUCCAGUAGCUUACAGAUGUAAUGGACCACAGCAUAAAGAAUGUAACGAAGAAGAACUGGCAAUAGGUACAGUAACAAAUAAGACCUUCUACUGGUCUUCACCCCCCGCCCCCCCAAACAUAAGACAUCAUCUUGUAGACAUCAUGUGACUGUUGGGGUCAUAUAAGGACAUAGACUAGAUGGAGCGAGUCUGGAACACAUUUAAGAAAAGUCCAUGGGCUGGGUGUUAUGGUCAACAGGAGUCAAUCAAAUUGCUAUAAAUGCUCUGUGUUGAAGACACACCCAAGUCCUCAAGGCAGAGCCAGAUUGUUAUGAAACCUGACACGCAUGUUCAGCUCAGCUCGCAACUUGCGUGCAGAAUUUAAUUUUGCCCUAACUGGGGUGGCUUGCUAGGACAAAUUGCUUUAAACGGUAUUUCCUCCCAGACCACGUGUCCAAUUGGAUUACCUUUUCAUACGAGAUCAGUGUGCGAAUUGGAGCUGACAAUGUCAAGCGCAUGUUAGACUGGAUGUGCUACAAGCAGCACAAGCCAAACACGUCGGCCAGAAAAGUAUCUAGGUUUGCUUGUUUGCCGUCAUGAAUGUUUCUGUACAAACUCCUAUAUUAGACACAUGUUAAAUAUCUUGAAAGGAUCAAUAAUUUGUCACGGCCGUUCCUUUACUUCACUCAAAGUUUUGAAACAAAAAAAGAAAUUUGCAAAACUUGAAAGUAAAAUUGUUAGUUGCAAUAUCCUUGCAUACCUGUUUAAUAUUUAUGGAUUUCCAGACCUUAGUAAUGAGCACCAUUGAAGAUAAUCUUCAUCCUGUAUUACAGUUUUCUGGAAUUGCCGCUUAACAAGUAUUACGUGUAAAUAUUAAACUUGUAAAACGUUAAGAUUACAGACUGUGCCUUUUAAUUCAUUGUAAUUUAUUUAAUACAAAGAAAAUUAAGA